rnacentral:tRNA from 1 species
GCGGGAAUAGCUCAGUGGUAGAGCGUCGCCUUGCCAAGGCGAAGGUCGCGGGUCCGAGCCCCGUUUCCCGCU